rnacentral:rRNA from 1 species
GACGAACGCUGGCGGCGUGCUUAACACAUGCAAGUCGAACGGAAAGGCCCUGCUUGCAGGGUACUCGAGUGGCGAACGGGUGAGUAACACGUGGGUGAUCUGCCCUGCACUUCGGGAUAAGCUUGGGAAACUGGGUCUAAUACCGGAUAGGACCGCACUUUAGUGUGUGUGGUGGAAAGUUUUUUCGGUGUAGGAUGAGCUCGCGGCCUAUCAGCUUGUUGGUGGGGUAAUGGCCUACCAAGGCGGCGACGGGUAGCCGGCCUGAGAGGGUGUACGGCCACAUUGGGACUGAGAUACGGCCCAGAUUCCUACGGGAGGCAGCAGUGGGGAAUAUUGCACAAUGGGCGCAAGCCUGAUGCAGCGACGCCGCGUGGGGGAUGAAGGCCUUCGGGUUGUAAACUCCUUUCGCUAGGGACGAAGCUUUUUGUGACGGUACCUAGAUAAGAAGCACCGGCUAACUACGUG